GUGAACAUAGUUUUAAACAAAACAUUAGACUGUGAACCUAAAAAUAGAAGCUAUUCCCUUCUUGUUCACC
rnacentral:tRNA from 1 species